rnacentral:tRNA from 1 species
GGGGCUGAUCGGAAGAUCACGAAAGGACUCAUAAUCCGUCGGCCGUGGGUUCGAGUCCCACCCGCCCCACCA